rnacentral:tRNA from 1 species
UCCCUGGAGGACUGGUGGUCAGGCCACGGCGCUCUCACCACCGCGGCCUGGGUUCAAUUCCCGGCCAAGGAA